AACGAACGCUGGCGGCAUGCCUAACACGUGCAAGUCGAACGAAGGCUUCGGCCUUAGUGGCGCACGGGUGCGUAACGCGUGGGAAUCUGGCCCUUGGUUCGGAAUAACAGUUAGAAAUGACUGCUAAUACCGGAUGAUGACUUCGGUCCUAAGAGUUAUCGCCAAGGGAUGAGCCCGCGUAGGAUUAGGUAGUUGGUGGGGUAAAGGCCUACCAAGCCGACGAUCCUUAGCUGGUCUGAGAGGAUGAUCAGCCACACUGGGACUGAGACACGGCCCAGACUCCUACGGGAGGCAGCAGUGGGGAAUAUUGGACAAUGGGCAAAAGCCUGAUCCAGCAAUGCCGCGUGAGUGAUGAAGGCCUUAGGGUUGUAAAGCUCUUUUACCAGGGAUGAUAAUGACAGUACCUGGAGAAUAAGCUCCGGCUAACUCCGUGCCAGCCGCCGCGGUAA
rnacentral:rRNA from 1 species